CCGCAGGUGCGCCGGCGUUGGCGGCGUCCUGCGCUGACGCCGAACGGAUCUGCGUGCCGUUGCGGCCGGCAGGCCA
rnacentral:tRNA from 1 species